CGUGACGAGGAGCCCGCAGGCGCCGGGAGUGGGGAGGGAGGGGCUUGUCGGCCCAGUUACCCGGGCUAUGGGCUGCUGGGUGCGGAGGCUUGCAGCUCGCGGGGUUUGCCCGCAGAUGGCUUAGUUUCGGGUGCUGGCCUGGACGGGGUCGUGAGCCCCCUCUUACCAUGUCUGGCUGGCGGCGACCCAGAUGCCACGUGAUGGUCAUUUGAAGACAGGCCUGUCGGAUAUCAGGAAUCCCAAGGUCCAGAUGCCUGCCUUCAGGGACCUGGGCUUUCAGCUCUCAUACCUGGCCCUGGUUGAUGGCCCCGUGCUGAGCAGUGCAUGUGAAGACACACAUGGUGAGGAAAUGGCAGAGUUGCUUCUGGGACUGGAAGGAGACGGGGAAACCUGCCAGAGAGGAACAGGAUUGAGGGGCUCCAGUGCGAGAGGAGAGAAAUGCAGUGCGCAUGGGCUGGAGUUUCUGCGCAGCGUGUGCCUAGAAUUGGAUUCGCCGGUUCGUGGGCUGUGAGCAAAUCCCACUUUGUUAGAAGAUGCUCCUGACUUUCCGAAGUGGCUGACGGAAGCCAGGCUGUCGUAGGAGGCUCCGUGCCCAGUGUGGGGCCCAAUGCGGGGCUUGAACUCACGAUCCUGAGACUAGACCUGAGCUGAGAUCAAGAGCUGGGCUAUUAACUGACUGAGCCACCCAGGUGCCCCCUGUUCUGUCUAGUUAUUAUGAGGUUGUCUCUUACUUGUUGAUUACUAGAGUUCUUGUUGUGUUCUAGGUACUCGCACUUUUGGGGGGUUACAUGAGCUACAGAUAUCCUGUUCUGCAUCAUGCUCUUAGAGUUUGCUCUAUGAGACUUGCACGAGAAACUUUUUAAUUGUCAUUUCAAGCAGACACAAAACACAGAAAACACAAUAAACCCCUCCACUCCCGUCACCCAUUUCAACAAUUGUGUAAUGUUGUGUGAUGAGCAGAAGUUCUUAAUUUUUGUGUCAGCCGCUCUGUGAGCCCCUUUAUUUAGGGUUAGUACUGUCUGCCUCUUGUUUAAGAUGAGGGCUUGAAGGUAUUCUUCUACGUUUUCUUUUGAAAGAUUUUAAUAUUAUCUUUUACAUUUAGACCUUGAAGCUUAAAGCUACUUGAAGCUGAUUUAUGUACAAUAAAGGAAAAGACUCCUUUUUUCCCACAUGGAGACCUCGCUGUCCCAGCACCCUUUCUGAAGGAGCCCGUCCUUCCCCACCUAACCUAGGUCAGCACUUCUGUUAAAAAAUCACAGACAUGGGGUACUGGGGUGGUUCAGUGGGUUAAGCGUCUGCCUUCAGCACUGGUCAUGAUCCCGGGGUCCUGGGAUUGAGU